GAGACCAAGUGUCCAGACACAGGAGCCUGUCGGGGAGGACAUGGGACGGGGGAUGACAACGAGACUUCUUCACAGCAGCAGCAGCCAACCACGACAAUGUCUACAUCUCUAGUCAAAUGCUACAAGUCAAGCCAGUGAGGUCAAGUGUGUGUGGCUGGACUGGGCAGAGGUGACACUCAUCCAUCGUGGACACUAUACUGGCACAGAUGACAUCAGCCUCACUACUCUGGAUAUUGACCUUGAUCUUGGCCAAGUUUCCUGGCCCGAAGCCUUCUGGUGGAAAUAUUGAGCAGGGGAGGGAGUGUUUCCUCCUAAGAAUUCACAUAAAGGGAAUUGUUGCUUUAGGGGAAGUGGUGGGUUUCUGAGCCUACAAGCAGGGCUGCAGGGCUCUGAUGGCAAUAUGUAUGUGAACUGAUGAACUCCACAAUGGGUCCUGCCAUGUCAUCUGGUGUGGCUGAGACUGGUGAUGGCCUUUGAGGGUCAAGUGUCCACGCAUCAAUGCUUCUGUGCU